rnacentral:rRNA from 1 species
UUUCCUACGGGGGGCAGCAGUGGGGAAUAUUGCACAAUGGGGGAAACCCUGAUGCAGCAACGCCGCGUGAGUGAAGAAGUAUUUCGGUAUGUAAAGCUCUAUCAGCAGGGAAGAAGAAAGACGGUACCUGACUAAGAAGCCCCGGCUAACUACGUGCCAGCAGCCGCGGUAAUACGUAGGGGGCAAACGUUAUCCGGAUUUACUGGGUGUAAAAGGAGCGUAGACGGCCAGACAAGUCAGAAGUGAAAACCCGCGGCUCAACUGCGGGAGUGCUUUUGAAACUGUUUGGCUG